UACGUAGGGUGCAAGCGUUGUCCGGAAUCAUUGGGCGUAAAGCGCGCGUAGGUGGCCCUGUAAGUCCGUUGUGAAAGUCAAAGGCUCAACCUUUGAAAGCCGAUGGAUACUGCAGGGCUAGAGUACGGAAGAGGCGAGUGGAAUUCCUGGUGUAGCGGUGGAAUGCGCAGAUAUCAGGAGGAACACCAAUAGCGAAGGCAGCUCGCUGGGACGUUACUGACACUGAGGCGCGAAAGCGUGGGGAGCGAACAGG
rnacentral:rRNA from 1 species